CCGGUUGAUCCUGCCGGAGGCUACUGCCAUCAGAGUUCGAUUAAGCCAUGUUAGUCGAGGGUGCUUCUUCUUCGGAAGAAGUAACCCGGCGGACGGCUCAGUAACACGUGGAUAACUUGCCCUUGGGUCCGGGAUAACCCCUGAGAAAUUGGGGACAAUACCGGAUAGGGCAUCGAUAGCUGGAAUGCACGAUGUCCAAAAGCUGAGGCGCCCAAGGAUAGGUCUGCGGCUGAUUAGGUUGUUGUUGAUGUAAUGGAUCAACAAGCCUGCAAUCGGUACGGGUUGUGAGAGCAAGAGCCCGGAGAUGGGUUCUGAGAAAAGAACCCAGGUCCUACGGGACGCAUCAGGCGCGAAAACUUUACAAUGUGCGAAAGCACGAUAAGGGAACUCUGAGUGCCUCCUAUGGAGGCUGUUCAGGUGUCUAAAAAGCACUUGAAGUAAGGGCUGGGUAAGACCGGUGCCAGCCGCCGCGAUAACACCGGCAGCCCAAGUGGUAGCCACGAUUAUUGGGUCUAAAGCGUCCGUAGCCGGCCAGGUAAGUUCUUUGGGAAAUUUAACCGCUCAACGGUUAAGCUUUCAGGGAAUACUGCUUGGCUUGGGACCGGGAGAGGUCAGAGGUACUUCAAGGGUAGGGGUGAAAUCCGUUAAUCCUUGAGGGACCACCAGUAGCGAAGGCGUCUGA
rnacentral:rRNA from 1 species